UGCAAAGAAGGACUGGUACGAUAUAAAAGCUCCUUCUGUCUUCCAAGUGAAGAAUGUGGGCAAGACUCUUGUUACUCGUACGCAGGGUACUAAGAUUGCUUCUGAAGGACUCAAACACCGUGUGUUUGAGGUCUCCCUAGCUGACCUUCAGGGUGAUGAGGAUCAUGCUUACAGAAAGAUUCGUUUGAGAGCUGAAGAUGUUCAAGGGAAGAAUGUUUUGACAAAUUUCUGGGGAAUGGAUUUUACAACAGACAAGUUGAGGUCUUUGGUGAGGAAAUGGCAAACUUUGAUUGAAGCUCAUGUGGAUGUGAAGACAACUGAUAACUACACUUUGAGGAUGUUCUGCAUUGGGUUUACCAAGAGAAGACCAAACCAGGUCAAGAGGACUUGUUAUGCACAAUCCAGCCAGAUAAGACAGAUUCGUAGGAAAAUGAGGGAGAUCAUGGUAGCCCAAGCAUCAUCUUCUGAUCUCAAGGAUUUGGUCCGCAAGUUCAUUCCAGAGAUCAUUGGCAAAGAGAUUGAGAAAGCAACUUCAAGUAUCUACCCUUUACAAAAUGUCUUCAUUAGGAAAGUAAAGAUUUUGAAAGCUCCAAAGUUUGAUCUUGGAAAACUAAUGGAGGUUCAUGGUGAUUAUUCAGAGGAUGUAGGUGUGAAGUCGGAGAGGCCAGCUGAUGAAACAAUGGCUGAGGCGCCUGCUGAAGCUACUGCAUGAGCUUGAAAUCAUUUUUAUUUUUGCUAUUUAUUGAGUUAUUGUUGAUCUCCAUUUUUUUUUUAAAUUGCGGAACGUUAGCAUGUUUUUUGUUUAGCUGAGAUUCAGAGAUUCAGAGUGGUUCUUUUGAGGAUCUGUUUUUGCAUUUUAGUCAAAUAGUUGGUUACUUGUUUGCCCAAAAUUAUAAACACAUUUACAUAUUUUUCUUUAUUUGAUUUGGAGGUGACUCGAGAUUUUCGUAGAGUCGGAAAUUUUUGGAUAUCAUCUCUCAUGCAAUUGUGUUGGGUAAAACAUUGUUGUCCAAUUGAUCUUUUUGUACAAUUUCAAUUGUUGGAUUUAAUGUCUGGAAUUUUCAAAUUUUCAGGAGCAAUAAUAUGGUAG
rnacentral:misc_RNA from 1 species